GCCAAACAGGGGGAUUGCCUCAGUACGGCGAGUGAGCGGCAAAGAGCUCAAUUUGAAAUCUAGCACCUUCGGUGUUCGAGUUGUAAUUUGAAGAUGGUAACCUUGGGUUUGGCCCUUGUCUAUGUUCCUUGGAACAGGACGUCAUAGAGGGUGAGAAUCCCGUCUGAUGAGAUGCCCAUUCCUAUGUAAGGUGCUAUCGAAAAGUCGAGUUGUUUGGGAAGGCGGCUCUAAGGGGGGGGUAAAUUCCAUCUAAAGCUAAAUAUUGGCGAAAGACCGAUAGCGAACAAGUACAGGGAUGGAAAGAUGAAAAAAACUUUGAAAAGAAAGGGAAAAAGUACGUGAAAUUGUUGAAAGGAAAGGGCAUUAAAUCAAACUUGGUGUUUUACGAUUAUCUUCUCUUCUUGAGUUGUGCACUCGUAUUUCACUGGGCCAGCAUCGAUUCGGAUGGCAAGAUAAUGGCAGUUGAAUGUGCCUUCACUUCGGUGGAGUGUUAUAGCUUCUGCUGAUAUUGCCUGUCGGGAUCGAGGGCUGCGUCUUUUGACUAGGAUGCUGGCGUAAUGAUCUAAUGCCGCCCGUCUGAAAACACGGACC
rnacentral:rRNA from 1 species